rnacentral:misc_RNA from 1 species
UUUUCUUUCAAAAAAAAAAAAUGGCUGCAUUCCACAAAUGCAUGAUAGCAACACAGCAAAUCAGCAAACAGUUCAACUACAUAAGAAUUUUCAUACCACAUAUUUCAAUGAACGCCAAUCCAAAAUUUAUAAGCUAAACAAGCUCCCAUAAAAUGAGGUUCUCCAAGAAACUCAACAUGCCAAAUCAAAGCCAACAAUGCAUGAGUUUCAUUGUUGGUUAAGCAGUGAAAUAGAACAAAGACCACAACUCAGUAAUCAGAAGGUGAGAUGACAUCAUCAAUUUUUAAUAUCAUUUUGACAACUUGUGUUGC